GAUGAACGCUAGCGGCAGGCCUAACACAUGCAAGUCGAGGGGCAGCACAGAAACAGCAAUGUUUUGGUGGCGACCGGCGGACGGGUGCGUAACGCGUAUGCAACCUACCUUUAACAGGGGGAUAACGGAGAGAAAUUUCCACUAAUACCCCAUAACAUCGAUCAAGUCAUCUUGAUUGGUUGAAAACCCCGGUGGUUAAAGAAGGGCAUGCGUUGUAUUAGGUGGUUGGUGAGGUAAUGGCUCACCAAGCCUACGAUACAUAGGGGGACUGAGAGGUUAGCCCCCCACACUGGUACUGAGACACGGACCAGACUCCUACGGGAGGCAGCAGUGAGGAAUAUUGGUCAAUGGGGGCAACCCUGAACCAGCCAUGCCGCGUGCAGGAAGACGGCUCUAUGAGUUGUAAACUGCUUUUAAACAGGGAUAAAGCACAGUAUGUAUACUGUGUUGAAGGUACUGUAAGAAUAAGGAUCGGCUAACUCCGUGCCAGCCGCCGCGGUAA
rnacentral:rRNA from 1 species